AUUGGGUUAGGCUGGGUCGGGCCGCCAUUUUGGAUGCUAAGGCGUCUCGCUGCGGGAAGGUCUUAUCUCUGCCUGACUCCUCAAACAUCCAUGUCAAUGAACCUGCAUGCAGGAAAAGCACAUAAGUAUUCAAGAAAAUAUCACCUGAAUUGAAAAAAUGAAGAAUGAAACAUUUUUAAAAUGCGGAAGAAUUAGGUACAGUGCUCCUGUCAGCUAAUUUCUAAGUUAUUAUCUGCAAAAAAACCCCUAGAGUUUUCACGUGCCUCCAUAGCCCCUGGAAUCACAGUUAAAGUCCCUCCUCCCAAAAAAUCUGAAACGGCACCUCUGCAGUUGGACCUUUUGACAUCUGGGAAAGUGUGGAAAGACAGUUUAAAUUUAACCUAAUCACAAGAUCUUCCCUUAUCUCUGUCUACCAUAUGGUAGUCAUGGACAGCAGCCAAAAGUCUGUCUUCGUCAAAUGGUUUAUUAUGUCAAAGAACAAUGUGGCAUUAAGGCAACUCAUCUUCUAUUAUUCAAAACAUAUUCAAAAUGCCACUAGUACCAUGCAGCUCAGCCCAUCUGUGCAAAACAACAUUACAAGCUGCCUACCCAGUGUGCUGCUAGCUGACCAGAGGAGCUCACCAGGUGUCUCAUUAACCUCUGGUUUCAGUACAGCAGGGAGUGUGAUUUUUAGGAGAAGCAGCCAAAAUCUGCACUAGUAUGAGACCACCUUGAAGAGACUGGUCGAGGUGGGGAUCAGUUGGACUGGUAUUCAGUGCAGGGGGCACAUUGAAUGUAUAAAAACCCUCUAUCACAAGGCAAUAGCAAUGUGCUAUAUCUGUUCUUCUGAUAAACAAGGGACUUCAGUCUCCAGGACUGUGAAUGUGAAGCCUUCCACAAGCAAUGAAUCCACAUCCAAAUUGUAAAAAAGUAAAAGUUUUCAUUUCAAUUCUGAAGAUUAUUCCAGGGAUGCAGAGUAGCUGCAGGGGACUUCUGGACAAAUAAGUUCAGCUUGAGGCAGAAUGAACUUUUUCUGCUGAUUCCUUGUGCAGUUGAUGGGGGGAUGAUGGCAUCCCUCAGCUUUUCCCACCUGUUCCCAUGCAUACACUCAGUGGUUCUGGGCUACUGCCCCCUUUCUACACAGAAAGGGUGAUAUCUGCAUAGAGAAUCAUCUCUACUAAUGGAUCUCCAGGGCAUUAUAUGGCCUCAAGUUAAGGAUCUCAGUAUUUGUUCCUGAGAUUGUAUGCUUUGAGGGGACAUGACUGUAUCUGUCAUUUGUAAAUAAAGCA